GAUGAACGCUGGCGGCGUGCCUAAUACAUGCAAGUCGAGCGAACAGAUGAGGAGCUUGCUCCUCUGACGUUAGCGGCGGACGGGUGAGUAACACGUGGAUAACCUACCUAUAAGACUGGGAUAACUUCGGGAAACCGGAGCUAAUACCGGAUAAUAUAUUGAACCGCAUGGUUCAAUAGUGAAAGACGGUUUUGCUGUCACUUAUAGAUGGAUCCGCGCCGCAUUAGCUAGUUGGUAAGGUAACGGCUUACCAAGGCAACGAUGCGUAGCCGACCUGAGAGGGUGAUCGGCCACACUGGAAGUGAGACACGGCCCAGACCCAUAGGGGAGGCAGCAGUAGGGAAUCUGCCGCAAUGGGCGAAAGCCUGACGGAGCAACGCCGCGUGAGUGAUGAAGGUCUGCGGAUCGUAAAACUCUGUUAUUAGGGAAGAACAAAUGUGUAAGUAACGAUGCACGUCUGGACGGUACCUAACCAGAAAGCCACGGCUAACUACGU
rnacentral:rRNA from 1 species